AUUGAACGCUGGCGGCAGGCCUAACACAUGCAAGUCGGGCGAGCGGCGGACGGGUGAGUAAUGUAUGGGGACUGCCCGAUAGAGGGGGAUAACUACUGGAAACGGUAGCUAAUACCGCAUACUAUCGGAUAACCCAUAUGGGAUUAGCUAGUUGGUGAGGUACUUGCUCACCAAGGCGACGAUCCCUAGCUGGUCUGAGAGGAUGAUCAGAAAAAGUGGGAACGAUACACGGCCCAGACGCCGACGGAGGCAUCAGUGGGGAAUAUUGCACAAUGGGCGCAAGCCUGAUGGAGACAUGCCGAGUGUAUGAAGAAGGCCCUAGGGUUGUAAAGUACUUUAAGGCGGGAGGCGUUACCGACAGAAGAAGCACCGGCUAACGCCGUGCCAGCAGCAGCGGUAAUAC
rnacentral:rRNA from 1 species